rnacentral:lncRNA from 1 species
GCGCCAUUUAUUUCUACUACACGACACGACCUCUGUGGAUCAGCAGCUGUUUCCUUUGCUCAGCAACUGAACAGCCCAUUCCCUGUUUGUUUCAACUUUGCAGGGGAUCACCAAUGGGGAGCUGAGAUACUAAAGCUCUCCAUGGGAAUGAAAGUUAAGAAGGGCACCAGGGAGGCCAUUGGCACACAGGCAGUCAAUAGUAUUGAACAAGAAAAAGCUGCAUGACUUUUAGACCAGAG